rnacentral:rRNA from 1 species
GAUGAACGCUGGCGGCGUGCCUAAUACAUGCGAGUCGAGCGAACGGACGAGAAGCUUGCUUCUCUGAUGUUAGCGGCGGACGGGUGAGUAACACGUGGAUAACCUACCUAUAAGACUGGGAUAACUUCGGGAAACCGGAGCUAAUACCGGAUGAUAUUUUGAACCGCAUGGUUCAAAAGUGAAAGACGGUCUUGCUGUCACUUAUAGAUGGAUCCGCGCUGCAUUAGCUAGUUGGUAAGGUAACGGCUUACCCAGGCAACGAUGCAUAGCCGACCUGAGAGGGUGAUCGGCCACACUGGAACUGAGACACGGUCCAGACUCCUACGGGAGGCAGCAGUAGGGAAUCUUCCGCAAUGGGCGAAAGCCUGACGGAGCAACGCCGCGUGAGUGAUGAAGGUCUUCGGAUCGUAAAACUCUGUUAUUAGGGAAGAACAUAUGUGUAAGUAACUGUGCACAUCUUGACGGUACCUAAUCAGAAAGCCACGGCUAACUACGUG